rnacentral:rRNA from 1 species
GACGAACGCUGGCGGCGUGCCUAAUACAUGCAAGUCGAACGCAGUGGGGACGGGUGAGUAACACGUGGGUAACCUCCCAUCAGAGGGGAUAACACUUGGAAACAGGUGCUAAACCGAUACUGAUGGAUGGACUUGCGGUGCAUUAGCUAGUUGGUGGGGUAACGGCUCACCAAGGCCACGAUGCUUAGCUGACCUGAGAGGAUGAUCGGCCACACUGGGACUGAGACACGGCCCAGACUCCUACGGGAGGCAGCAGUGGGGAAUAUUCGGCAAUGGACGAAAGUCUGACCGAGCAAUGCCGCGUGAGUGAAGAAGGUUUUCGGAUCGUAAAGCACUGUCGUUAGAGAAGCGGUAUCUAACCAGAAAGCCACGGCUAACUACGUGCCAGCAGCCGCGGUAAUUC